rnacentral:rRNA from 1 species
UAAGGAAUAUUGGUCAAUGGACGAAAGUCUGAACCAGCCAUGCCGCGUGCAGGAUGAAUGCCCUAUGGGUUGUAAACUGCUUUUAUACAGGAAGAAAAACUUUCUCGUGAGAAAGCUUGACGGUACUGUAAGAAUAAGGAUCGGCUAACUCCGUGCCAGCAGCCGCGGUAAUACGGAGGAUCCAAGCGUUAUCCGGAAUUAUUGGGUUUAAAGGGUCCGUAGGUGGAUAAUUAAGUCAGAGGUGAAAUCCUGCAGCUUAACUGUAGAAUUGCCUUUGAUACUGGUUAUCUUGAGUUAUUAUGAAGUGAUUAGAAUGUGUAGUGUAGCGGUGAAAUGCAUAGAUAUUACACAGAAUACCAAUUGCGAAGGCAGAUCACUAAUAAUCAACUGACACUGAGGGACGAAAGCGUGGGUAGCGAACAGG